AUUCUACCCAUGUGGGGAAGGAUGAGAAGCUUCGACUAAGGUUCGAUUCGAGCGAAAGCGAGAAAGCGUUGCCGCAGGCAACGACCCGAAGGGCGAAGCGCGCAGCGCUGAGUCAUCCUUCCCCCACCACCA
rnacentral:sRNA from 8 species